GAAAUCGUGCGAAAAUGGGUGAAACUCGUGGGGGGGCAAUCUCGCUCGGGCGAACUAGCCGUUUUGCUCGUUGCAGCGCAUGCGCUGUGCUGUCUUUGAAUGUGUGCGUGCGUAAAAGCGAGCGAAACGCCGCUGUGUCAAAAAAUGUGUAAACAAACUCAGUUGGAGUUCAGAAAAUCUUACUUAUUACCGAUAUGUGCAGUGCCGUGGAAAAACAAAAAUUGCUUCAAAAAAGCUGUGUGUGUGGCUGAUACUCCAGCAUCUUCCCAAUAUGUGUGUAAACAACGCCAAGAGUAUUACUGUUUUGUGAUCAUCAUAUUUCAUUCGAAUUGCACAUUACCGGGCAGAAAAAGCUUCAAGCAACCAAUUUUGUUUCGGCUGUCUUCUUUCUUGCACGGCUAGGUCAACAUAUAUUAUACAUAUCGAAGAGGUUUUAGUCAGUGUUUAAUUUAUCACAGCUUGUGUUACUUUCGUAUCACAUUUUUUGUCAUAAUUUUAUAUGACAGCAGUCUUUCACGUGGCCGGAUCGAACAACGUAUCCCAUUUGGAUCGUUUUGCUAUACGCAGGACGCAGCUACGAAUAAAAUUAAGAUAGUCAGAAUUAAAUAUAUACACUACUUAAACCUAUGUUUGGUAAAUAUGAAAAAGGCAAUACGACCGUUCUAAUUAAAAAAAAAAAACAAAAAUUAAAACGUUAAGAGACUACAAAAGGAAAUAUAAAAACUAAAUAAAACUUAAACUAAAUAAUAACUUAAAUAUAAAUUUACAUAGUGCGUCUUGUGCGACUGAAAGUUUUUCUAAUGCCUUGCAUUGCUACUCUUUUAGGAGCAUAUGCAAGCUUUUUUUUUAUGUACAUUUCUACGAAGUUUAUAUCUACUUCUACGCCCAUGUGGUUUGUGGCUACAUUUUUUAAAAAUUGCAUAGUAUGUACAUAGUUUUUGAAGGCUAUUUUUCUUCCACCCGAUCCGAGCCAGCUACACUUGGCUAAAAAUUGUUUGUCGAACAUUAUAUCCAACACUUCAUGCAGUCGGCUUUUCGCGUUUUGGCUGGAUAAUUCAGCAUCCGCACGCUGUAUGAAGGUGUAAAACAAAUUUUCAUCUGUAAGAUGCUCUUCAAACCUGUCCAGUGACUCUUCGUUGCUUAUAUAUUGUAUCGGGAUGGUUUGAGCAUUGCGUCGCACGCCUUUCAUCGGGUGUAUUGUGGCCGAAAUUUCAUUCACUAUCGCAGCCGUUUGGGCGGUUCGGGCAUCCAGUUUUAAUAAUAAACAGUGUGAACAAAAAUCGUGCCCAGGACAAGUUGUUUUUGCUUGAACUAACUCUGUGUUCUUAUUUACAUUAAUAGAUACCGUGGACGGAUGAAUGCUGCUUGCUGACGACUGCUCUUCUUGAAAUGUUGAUCCCGGUGAUGAUGAAACACACGGUUCCGGUGUCAUGCUUGGUGACGGCUGACGGAAUCCUUGAUGCACGACAGUCGUUUUUGCCGGUCGCGCAAAGUCAUGCACGCAUGAACCAGCAGCUGAAGCAACAGACGAUUUCGGCGUCACACUUGUGGUCGCUAGUGGAACAACACGCACGGAACUAGCAGGCACAAGAAUCAUCCCACGUAUCGCUUUCGUUGAGGGCUGCGAUCCUCGCUUUUGUGCCAUCGAUCCUGCCGGACGCGUAGCGAUAUCCACGGAACCAGCAUUGAGAGCAGUAGAAGAUUCCGACGUCGCAGACGAUCCUGCCGGCCGCGGAAUGACACGCAUGGAACCUGCAGCGGGAACAAAUGCCGGUGCCGGCGUCGCACUAGUGGACGGCUGCGAUCCUCGCUUUUGUUCCACCGAUCCUGCCGGUCGCGUAGCGAUAUCCAUGGAACCAGCAUCGGGGGCAAAAGACGGUUCCGGCGUCGGUCUUGAUGACGUUCGCGGUCCAAAAACACGGACAAUUGCCCCUGUGGAGCAUAAUACAGCCGAAGGCAGUUGUUGCAGUGCAAAAAGGCACCCUUUCUUUGGUGGUUCCGACAUUAUAUUUUGGCUGAAAUAAUCAAUCGUUUUAUUAUUUUUUAUGUGAAACUGCUGAGUCGAAUUUGAAUGCUGCUUUGCGCCUUGAAAUCUGAAUGUUUAUGUUUUCAGCUGUGACUUUGAAUAAAGGGUAACAAUCACACGCA